ACAACAUUCGGACCGUCGAUCUACCGACCCAAAUCACCCGCUCGGGGGAAGAUCUUCCUUGUUGU
rnacentral:pre_miRNA from 1 species